UUCUCAUGGUUAGAAAUGGAGACAAUUGUUAUUCUGGUUCGCUACAAUGGAAAAUGGGUAACCUCAAAGAAGAUGUGCAAAUACGAAGGGGGUGACUCAAAAGACUUAAUAGUUCCACUGACCAUCACAUUUGCUAAACUAUUGGAUCGUAUGCAUCAGAUUGAUUUUGUCAUUUUCAAUCUUUCUGUGAUUUGAGUAUAUUCAGAAAUUGGGCAUUUCCCAGUAAGACUGCAGUUGUCAAUUGUCCCCAGCAGUAGUUAAAGAUGUUGGACGUACGACCUCCAAACGAAGAUGUCAGUUACCCAGGAGACCAGCCGUGGCAUGUGUCGUUCCCAUCUCCACCUCUGACUCCAAUUGCCACCCUAUUGCGUGUAUCCCAGCGAUAGUUAUUGCUAUCCUAUUGCAAAAUAUUGCCCUCAUAUUGCCACUAGAUUGUCUGUGUAUUGCCCAAAUAUUGUGGUUCUAUUGUAUGUAUAUUGACUAGGGCUCGUCAUUGGGUUUAGAGUUUAGGGCCUACUUUAUUCGAAAACAAGAAGAAGAGGAGAAAGGAACAAUGUGCCUUUCAAAAAGAGGCACUUAGCUACAUCAUA